rnacentral:rRNA from 1 species
GAUGAACGCUGGCGGCGUGCCUAAUACAUGCCAGUCGAGCGAACAGACGAGGAGCUUGCUCCUCUGACGUUAGCGGCGGACGGGUGAGUAACACGUGGAUAACCUACCUAUAAGACUGGGAUAACUUCGGGAAACCGGAGCUAAUACCGGAUAAUAUAUUGAACCGCAUGGUUCAAUAGUGAAAGACGGUUUUGCUGUCACUUAUAGAUGGAUCCGCGCCGCAUUAGCUAGUUGGUAGGGUAACGGCUUACCAAGGCGACGAUGCGUGGCCGACCUGAGAGGGUGAUCGGCCACACUGGAACUGAGACACGGUCCAGACUCCUACGGGAGGCAGCAGUAGGGAAUCUUCCGCAAUGGGCGAAAGCCUGACGGAGCAACGCCGCGUGAGUGAUGAAGGUCUUCGGAUCGUAAAACUCUGUUAUUAGGGAAGAACAAAUGUGUAAGUAACUAUGCACGUCUUGACGGUACCUAAUCAGAAAGCCACGGCUAACUACGUG